rnacentral:rRNA from 1 species
GAUGAACGCUGGCGGCGUGCCUAAUACAUGCAAGUCGAGCGAACGGACGAGAAGCUUGCUUCUCUGAUGUUAGCGGCGGACGGGUGAGUAACACGUGUAUAAUGUACCUAUCAGACGGGGAUAACCUCGGGAAACCGGAGCUAAUACCGGAGAAUAUUCUGAUCCACAUGGGUCAAAAGUGAAAGACGGUCUUGCGGUCACUUAUAGAUGGUUCCGCGCUGGAUGAGCUAGUUGUUAAGGUAAAGGCUUACGAAGGCAACCAUGCAUAGCCGACGUGAGGGAGUGAUCGGCGACCUUGGAGCGUGACCGCGGUCCAGACUACUACGAGACGGAGCAGUAGGCUAUGUGACGCAGUGGGCGGGAGUCUGACGGAGCAACCCCGCGCGUGUGACGAAGGUCUUCGGAUCGUGAAACUCGCUUACGAGGGAAGAACAUAUUUGUACGUAACCGUGCACAUCUUGACGGUACCUGAUCAGAAAGCCCCGGCUAACUACGUG